GUGUGUGUGUGUGUGUGUGCAUAUGUGUUUGGAGGGUAAAGUACGCAGACCUUGUCCGCAGAAGUAUACCAAACGCUUAAGUUAACUCAGAGUACGUGGUAAACCUCCUAAUAGAAGAGCCGUAUGGCUUCUAUUAGGCUCCUAGCAUAACAAAGAGAGCCAUAGAGCUCUUCUUUUAGGGGGUUUACCACAUACUCUGAGUUAACUUACCCAGGUUUGUCACUAAACCACGUACUUGGAAUCCCCUGGUCUCUGACAUUCUCAUAACCUAAUUAAACAUUCCAUUUUAUAUUAAAUUAUUUUAAUAUGUUCCUA